GCCUAACACAUGCAAGUCGAGCGGCAGCACGGGAAGCUUGCUUCCUGGUGGCGAGCGGCGGACGGGUGAGUAAUGCAUAGGAAUCUGCCCGAUAGUGGGGGAUAACCUGGGGAAACCCAGGCUAAUACCGCAUACGCCCUACGGGGGAAAGCAGGGGCUCUUCGGACCUUGCGCUAUCGGAUGAGCCUAUGUCGGAUUAGCUGGUUGGUGAGGUAAAGGCUCACCAAGGCGACGAUCCGUAGCUGGUCUGAGAGGAUGAUCAGCCACAUCGGGACUGAGACACGGCCCGAACUCCUACGGGAGGCAGCAGUGGGGAAUAUUGGACAAUGGGCGCAAGCCUGAUCCAGCCAUGCCGCGUGUGUGAAGAAGGCCUUAGGGUUGUAAAGCACUUUCAGUGGGGAAGAAAGCCUUUCGGUUAAUACCCGGGAGGAAGGACAUCACCCACAGAAGAAGCACCGGCUAACUCCGUGCCAGCAGCCGCGGUAAUACGGAGGGUGCGAGCGUUAAUCGGAAUUACUGGGCGUAAAGCGCGCGUAGGUGGCUUGAUAAGCCGGUUGUGAAAGCCCCGGGCUCAACCUGGGAACGGCAUCCGGAACUGUCAGGCUAGAGUGCAGGAGAGGAAGGUAGAAUUCCCGGUGUAGCGGUGAAAUGCGUAGAGAUCGGGAGGAAUACCAGUGGCGAAGGCGGCCUUCUGGACUGACACUGACACUGAGGUGCGAAAGCGUGGGUAGCAAACAGGAUUAGAUACCCUGGUAGUCCACGCCGUAAACGAUGUCGACUAGCCGUUGGGUCCUUCGCGGACUUUGUGGCGCAGUUAACGCGAUAAGUCGACCGCCUGGGGAGUACGGCCGCAAGGUUAAAACUCAAAUGAAUUGACGGGGGCCCGCACAAGCGGUGGAGCAUGUGGUUUAAUUCGAUGCAACGCGAAGAACCUUACCUACCCUUGACAUCCUGCGAACCCUUCGGAGACGAAGGGGUGCCUUCGGGAACGCAGAGACAGGUGCUGCAUGGCUGUCGUCAGCUCGUGUUGUGAAAUGUUGGGUUAAGUCCCGUAACGAGCGCAACCCUUGUCCUUAUUUGCCAGCGAGUAAAGUCGGGAACUCUCAGGAGACUGCCGGUGACAAACCGGAGGAAGGUGGGGACGACGUCAAGUCAUCAUGGCCCUUACGGGUAGGGCUACACACGUGCUACAAUGGUCGGUACAAAGGGUUGCGAACUUGCGAAAGUGAGCUAAUCCCAGAAAGCUGAUCUCAGUCCGGAUCGGAGUCUGCAACUCGACUCCGUGAAGUCGGAAUCGCUAGUAAUCGUGAAUCAGAAUGUCACGGUGAAUACGUUCCCGGGCCUUGUACACACCGCCCGUCACACCAUGGGAGUGGACUGCACCAGAAGUGGUUAGCCUAACCUUCGGGAGGGCGAUCACCACGGUGUGGUUCAUGACUGGGGUGGAGUCGUAACAAGGUAGCCGUAGGGGAACCUGCGGCUGGAUCACCUCCUU
rnacentral:rRNA from 1 species